CUUUAAUUUGCCUUCUUAAACACCAUCAAAUAGAGCAUAUAGAGUUCGCCCUAUUAUAUUGUUAUCAAAAAGGGCGAAAAUUUAGUCGUUGUCUUAGAGCUGAUCAAUAAGGGCGACUAAAUUAAAUUCGCCCUCUUUGAUCAAACAAUAAGGGCGACUUAAACAAUCGCCCUCUUUGAUAAACAAUAAGGGGGCGAAUUAAAAGAAGUUUUCGUCCUUGCUUGCACAAAUAAACAAAUACUUCUACUGUACUCCGUAAAACAAACCCCAAAACAAAAAAUUGUAAAACCCCUCUCUCUCCUCACAAUGCGAUAACUACACUUCGAAUUCUCCAUUGAAGCAAGUUUGAGCUUUCUCGAUCCUCCAUUGAAGCGAAUUUGAGCUUUCUCGAUCCUCCAUUGAAGCGAAUUUGAGCUUUCUCGAUCCUCCAUUGAAGCAACUUUGAACUUUCUCCUUCAUUGAAGCGACUUCUCAGAUGCUAUGACAGAAUAUUCCCAAAUAGCAUAGGUUAUAUUGAUCCGAAAUACAUGUUUACUAGACGUUUGAGCUCGGCAAUUUGGUCAAGAUGGUAGGUUUCUGGAGAUAGUUGAUCCCACUUUAUCUGAAUUUUCAGAAGAGGAUAUGAAAUGCUUUUGUGUCUGAGGUUUCACUUUUGCUCUCCGAGUCUCCAGAUGGCUGUGGUUUCAAUUCGGUGCAAACACUCAAAACAUUCCUAGUCCAGCACUUCAAAUGAAGUCAAACAGUUGCCAUCUUGGUGAGCAUUUUCAGCAAUUACUUCAUUUUUUAUUCCCCUUUUUGAUCAGUGAUGAUGCUUUGAGUAAUCUCUUAAUUGCCUUUGUGGAUUCUGAAGGUGCCAAUGAACAUAAUUAACUCAUAUAUACUACGUAUUUGAUUAAGAAUAAGCUUGCUUUAUGUGCAUAUUGUCAAUGCUAUAAAAGAAAAAUUGUGGACAGAUUACUUGUAUGAAAUGAUUUUUGACAGAAGAGUUGCAAUCCACUUCUGCCUAUUUUUCGUAACAAUUACGGAGUACGAGUACAUGCAAGCAUAUUUAUCUUGAUGUUUUUGACAGUCUUGUAAUUGGCUUCCGUGUUUUAAUUGUGUCCACAUGUAUGCAAUUGAUCAUGGUAGAUUUUUAAAACCAUAGAGCUUACUCUUUAAUGUAUGUUUGAAGUGUCUCACUGUGCUUAUUAGAAGAUAAACAUGUGAUCUCUGUAGGACCUUGUUUUUGAACACUAGUGUGUGACAACUAGAACAGAUAUACAGAAAAUUACAAGAACCCCUAUUAGAAAUUCAACUAAGAAAAAUCGAAAAAUCAAAUUAAAUAUUCAGAAGAGAUCCUCAAUCAAGAUUUUUUGUCAUUUGAUUAUGCAGUGAGUGGCAUAGAAUUAUAGCCCAUGUUUGCGUUCCCAGGUUGUCCGUUGAGGCACCUAUUUUAGGGUAUACUUCUGUAUUGCUCGAUUACCGGGUAGGUUGGGACAUCUUACGACAUACUCCCCUCAAAAAGUUAAAAAGCUACUCUUUGGCCAUAUGAAAUCUGAUGAUAGUGUGCACAUCAUGAAUGUUUAGGCACUGCGUUUACUUUAAGGGCAUGUUAUAUAGAUUAUCUGAUUAGCUUGAGACUUAUUAACUUUAUGUAAUUAUGAAUUAUGAUGCUUAUGCCGAGAAUUGUAGUGUUUAGUUACAUUCCUGAAGCAUAUUGUAGUCAGUCCUUGAUUUCUCCCAAAAAGCUUGGUUGCACUUUCCUGUUAGUUUUUGAGUUUAAAUGUUUUUGGUGCCAAUAAUUGCAUUAUCUAGUAUUUUACAUUGCGAGCUGAAUUGGAAGUUUCUAAGAAGAAACAAGAUGACCUAGACCAAAAACUUCGGUUAGUCGUGGAGAAGAUUGGCCUUGAUGCUUGAUAGAGGUAAUAUUUUCUAGCUUACUCUUUUCAUAAAAUUGUCAUGUGGAUGCAUUAUCAUGCCAUGGUUAUGUUAGCUUAUGUAAUUCAGUAGGUAUAAGGCAUGGUGCUCAGAAUGAUGCCUUUCUACAUGCUGUUAUUUUGGCAGUAGUCGAUUAGUCAAUCAAACAUUCCAUUUUAGUAUCUUAUUCUUGAACUUGACUUUUGUGAAUUGUAACGUUCCCUUUCUUCUUGAAGAAGAUUAACAGUUACAUUAAAACCUGCAGGACUCUAAACCGUUUCUUACCUGUUUCUAUCAAGUUUGCAGUCAGGGGAUCAAGUCAAUGUGCUGAUGUUUUGGAGAUGGACACCAAAAGGCGGGUUGCAUUAUAGAUGGAAAAAAAGGGGAUGCUAGAAGCUGCAAGAAUGAGAAGAUUGCUUGAUAGUUCAUAUCCUAGAAAAAACAUUAUUAAAUUUUAGUACUCUUUGGCUUAGCUAUUUGCUAUUUAGAAAAACUUGGUUAAUACUUUUGUAUAUAUAAUGACAAAAUUAGAAUUUAUGCCUAUUAAGACCUUUUUUUUUUUCC